rnacentral:rRNA from 1 species
GACGAACGCUGGCGGCGUGCUUAACACAUGCAAGUCGAACGGUGAAGCUCCAGCUUGCUGGAGUGGAUCAGUGGCGAACGGGUGAGUAACACGUGAGCAACCUGCCCCUGACUCUGGAAUAAGCGCUGGAAACGGCGUCUAAUACUGGAUACGAGAAGGGUCCGCAUGGGCACUUUCUGGAAAGUUUUUCGGUUGGGGAUGGGCUCGCGGCCUACAGCUUGUUGGUGAGGUAAUGGCUCACCAAGGCGACGACGGGUAGCCGGCCUGAGAUGGCGACCGGCCACAAUGGGACUGAGACACGGCCCAGACUCCUACGGGAGGCAGCAGUGGGGAAUCUUGCACAAUGGGCGAGAGCCUGAUGCAGCGACGCCGCGUGAGGGAUGACGGCCUUCGGGUUGUAAACCUCUUUCAGCAGGGAAGAAGCGAAAGUGACGGUACCUGCAGAAGAAGCACCGGCUAACUACGUG